rnacentral:rRNA from 1 species
GACGAACGCUGGCGGCGUGCUUAACACAUGCAAGUCGAACGGAAAGGCCCUGCUUUUGUGGGGUGCUCGAGUGGCGAACGGGUGAGUAACACGUGAGUAACCUGCCCUUGACUUUGGGAUAACUUCAGGAAACUGGGGCUAAUACCGGAUAGGAGCUCCUGCUGCAUGGUGGGGGUUGGAAAGUUUCGGCGGUUGGGGAUGGACUCGCGGCUUAUCAGCUUGUUGGUGGGGUAGUGGCUUACCAAGGCUUUGACGGGUAGCCGGCAUGAGAGGGUGACCGGCCACAUUGGGACUGAGAUACGGCACAGACUCCUACGGGAGGCAGCAGUGGGGAAUAGUGCAAAAUGGGAGGAAGCCUGAUGCAGCAACGCCGCGUGCGGGAUGACGGCCUUCGGGUUGUAAACCGCUUUCGCCUGUGACGAAGCGUGAGUGACGGUAAUGGGUAAAGAAGCACCGGCUAACUACGUG